UUCCUACGGGGGGCAGCAGUGGGGAAUAUUGCACAAUGGGCGAAAGCCUGAUGCAGCAACGCCGCGUGAGCGCUGCCGGCCUUCGGGUCGUCCCGCUCUGUCCUCCCGGCCGAUCAUGACGGUACUUGAGGAGGAAGCCCCGGCUAACUACGUGCCAGCAGCCGCGGUAAUACGUAGGGGGCUAGCGUUAUCCGGAAUUACUGGGCGUAAAGGGUGCGUAGGUGGUUUCUUAAGUC
rnacentral:rRNA from 1 species